GUGAGAGGCUGGAUGCUUGCUUUCCUGUGAUUCAUCAUAAAACAAAUUUUCCUCUUGCAUUUCUUAGAAGAGACAACUGUUGCUCGGGCCCAUGGAACAAGAACAUCUAUAAACCCAGGCAGAGUUCCCAGGAGGGUUUGUGAAAUGCUAGAGCAGGAAGAGGCCUUGGGACCCAGCAGGUUUGGCCACCUUGCUUUACAUCUGAGAAAAUUGAGGCCCAGAGAGGUCAGAGUCAUCCAAAGCACCAAGGCUGGGGUCCCGGAUUUGCACCCAGCAUGGACACCCACUGUACAGUGCCCAGAAAUGGCCAGGACCCUUCAAAGAAGCUGAGCUAAGGCUGGGCCUCCCCUCUCCUACAGCAACUCGGCUGACUGUGUGUCUGUGUGUCUUUGAAUUUUCCAGGACAGUGAAGCCAGGUGAGACCCUCAGAUUCCAAAUAAAAUGCAUCCCAACAAAAGUUGGACCCAAGAAAUUUAUCAAGUUUAGUUCUAAUCAGGUGAACAGGUACUCACUGAGAAGACAGUUCUCAUGGCCAACUAACCACUGCCUGAUGCUGUGGAAAAGGCAGGAGUUCUGACUGGCACGGAGUCUUGGCUGAGCUCUCCAGCACUUCCUGUUUUGGGAUUAGCUUUCAGAUAGAUUUUAUUACUCUUUAGAUUUCAGAUGAUUAGAUUUGAUUGUUCAUAGGAGGGGGGAUUUAAGAGCCAGCUGAGUGAUAGAGUUCAAAGGCCAACACUAACCUUAGGCAGCAGGACCCAUCAAGUCAGGUGAUGUGCAAUCACAGGAUGGCCUCAUUGACAGCCUGGGCCACAGAACCCCCUGCCCCACCCCGGCCUUGAGUCAUAGCCUUAAAGGGCAGGGCUACCACUAUCUGCAAUCAGAACCAAAGUAGUCCACAGCCACAGAGUCCCUCCCUGGAGCCACAGGCUAUCAGAAGCCCAGAGCUGCCACCCAUUUGGCCCUGAGAAGGUACCACCUCUUUCAGACAGCCCUGGAAGCACUUGCCAAAUGGAGCCUUCCCCCAGCACAGGGCUGGCCUGCUGGGAGUACAUUCCCUCCUCUCUGAAAUCCCAGGACUCCCCGUCCCAGCCCUCCUGCCUCCCUGAGGGGGGCCCCUUUCCCUCAGACCUUGGCACACACACAGCCUGUGCCUAGGCCUGCCCACUAAACCAGGAGUAGGACUCAGAGCCAGGCACUGUCUCUUUGCCUUUGACUUUCAAAAAAGAUUCAGGCAACUUCAAACUGUGGCACCUUAAACCUAACUCCACCAUCCCUAUGCUUCCCCUGUGCUGGUGAGUCUUCGAGGCACCUGCAGUGUAGCAGGAAUUUCCAGUCUUCCAUGCGCAAGCCCCAGCCCCUUGGUGGCGGCAGGUGACCAGUGGUCCCUCCUAUUUGAUGAGAUGAAAGAGAAACUGAGGACACACCUGGGCCAGUUCUUCUCCAGCACUCUCCCCCCAUGCAAUCUCAGAGAUUUAAGUUUCUUGGAUUUUAAAAAACUAGUGGGUUAAAAAACCUGAUCGCAAAGUUUCUCCUCAGAGGAUACAUCCUAAUUACAGAGGGCAAAACAGUAACUUUACAGUAAGAGCACUGCAGCUAUCACCUUGGCAGAAUCGCAGUUAGCAUCACCAAGAAUAAGACAUAUCAACACCAAGUGCCUUCAGAUAUGGUGCCCGAGAACAACAGAACAUCAUGUCACUGGUUUUCCUGCCCUAGUGCAUCAUCUCAAUCUAAUUAUGAAAAAACAUUAGACAAAUGAAGAUUGCAGGAUAUUCUACAGGAUACCUGGCGUAUGAAUUUUAGAAGGGUCAAAAUCUGAUUAAAUUAUUUUGGAACCAGAUAGAAGAAGUGGUUGUACAACAUUAUGAAUGUACUAAUUGCCAUUGAACCACACUUUAAAAUGGUUCAUUUUAUGUUAUGUGAAUUUCACCUCAAUUGGAAAAAGGAAUGGAGUUCCCUGGUGGCCCAGUGGGUUAAGGACUCAGUGUUGUCACUACUGUGGCUUGGGUUUGACCCCUGGCCCAGGAACUUCUGUAUGCCACACGCGCAGCCACAACAACAACAAAAGGAUCAAGUUCAUGAAGGAAAAAGACUGAGGAACUGCCAUGGAUGAGAAGAGACUGAAGAGGCAAAUGACAUCAUAUGGCAUCUGGAACAGAGAAGGAUACCAGUGGGACAACUGAAGAAAUUUGAAUCAAGAACAUAGAUUAGUUAAUGGUGUUUUAUAGAUAAAUUUCCAAUUUUUAUAUUUGAAUUAUGGUUUUAAAAGAUGUUUUACAGACUAAUUAGAAGGCACAGGGGAGCUCUUUGAACUAUUUUUACUACUUUUUUGCUAAGUCAGAAAUUACUUCUCAAUAAAACGUUAAAAAAAAAAAUCCGAGAUACAAUGAUUUAGGC